rnacentral:rRNA from 1 species
UACGUAGGGGGCAAGCGUUGUCCGGAUUUAUUGGGCGUAAAGCGCGGGCAGGCGGCCCCGUAAGUCGGCCGUGAAAGCGCCGGGCUCAACUCGGCGAGGACGGGCGAGACUGCGGGGCUCGAGCAAGGCAGAGGGCGGUGGAAUUCCGGGUGUAGUGGUGGAAUGCGUAGAGCUCCGGAGGAACACCAGUGGCGAAGGCGGCCGCCUGGGCCUUUGCUGACGCUGAGCCGCGAAAGCGUGGGGAGCGAGCCGG